AUUAAUUAUCCCGUUUGGUUUUGUUUGGGAUUGGCACAUAUUCCGUAUUCACGGACCAGAGGUAGCACCGGGAGCACGAGUUUGGGCGGGAACAAGGGAAUAGAACCAGCGAUCGGUUGAUUCUCAUGGCUUCUACGACUGGUCUGGACCAAAACGAGUCCUACGAUGAUGGUUCAUCAUCUUACUUCCAGAAAACAGUAUGCUUGCACGAUUGGUGGUUAAUCAAAGCUGAAGAGGACUUUGAAGGGAAACGACUAGCCGUUGCGGGCUUCACCUCGCGAGAGCAACAAGCAGUGCGUGUGUUUUCAUCUGCACCAGUACUCAAAAGAUACGAUAUGUUUACCCUGGAGACAGCUGACGGGAUUUGUGUUUUUAUUAAAGGAUUCAUUAACAAGCUGCGGACUAGCGAUAAUGGAUUUCCAUCCGAGGUUUUUAGUCAUUUUGUGUUUGGCUUUCCUCCCAACUGGGAAGAAUUUGCUGCAAAGCUCUUGGAAGGAGAUUCUACCACUUGUGUUCAUUCAGGACAUAUUUCUGCACCAGAUGAGUUUGCCACUCAUCCAGGAUUGGUUGUAGACAAUAAAAAUUCGAGUCCAGCUACAAAACAAACUCCAAAAACUCACCAGCUGUUCGUUCAUGAAAAUAAGCAUGAUAUUGAACCUUUAAAAAGUCGUUUUCAUACUGUUUCUGAGAAUAUCACCAUUGAUGCUUCAAAUGGUUCUAAGUUGUGUAAGCAUGCGACCAAAGAUGGAACAGAAGUGAAUGUUACACCUUGUGAUUUUCGGAGUAGGAGUUCCGCUAGAUUGAAGAAUCUGAAAGGCAAUUUGCAUAAUAACCCCGAAUCUAGAUAUUCUGUGAAGCAUAGAAACAAAAACUUGAGUCCCACAUUUGAUGCAUUUGAAAACACUGAUGGAGCAAAAAUGAAUAGUUCGUCAAGAACCACCAUUCAAUCUGAGGGGAGAAUGGACAUAUCAGACAGCCUUCCUGGAUAUUCUAUGGGCCAAGUUUUUGGAAAUUUGUCUGUGGAUGUAGGAAGCAAACAGAAAGAAGAGAAAAUGGCAGUCAAUGGGUCAAAAAGUAAAAGAAAUAAGAUGAAUUCCAUUCCCUUUGUUUCUGAUGAUCUGAGCAAUAUUGUACAGAAUAAUAACUGUGAAUUUGAGGGCAUUGGCGCAUCCAGCCCGUCUGCUGAUGAAGUUCAAGACCCAAGGCAUCCGACUGUCCUUAGAAAAGUUGAUGCUGAAUGUGCUGGAGGUGGUUCUCUGCAGAAAUCCAAUGUAAAACAUCCGCUAAACUGUGGAAACAAUAUGACUCAAGGUGAUUUGAAGACAAGGAACGAUAAUUCAGCUAGGUCUCCCAUUUUGCGUCGUACAAAGGACUUGAAGAAUGCAGUAAGGGAAGGAGAAAACAAUGCUAAGGAAGAAAGCAUGUGCAGUAAGAGAGAUUUUAUUUAUUCUCCAGAGUCUUUGAGUUUUGGAAGAUCAAGGUCAGGGAGACUACUGGUUCCUACAUUGGAAUUCUGGCGCAAUCAAUUGCCAGUUUAUGAUUCGGAUCGCAAAAUGACUGGAAUUAAGGAUGAGUUGAUUGUGAUAGGGCAGUCUAGAGGGAGUAUAUUGGAGCCUCAGAAAAAGAGAAGACAGUAGAAGUUAAUUUCACGUGCAGCUUUAGCACUUGCUGUUGAAAUUAAGGAACUUAAGAAGGGUAUUGAGUCAAAGUUACUGAAAUGUUAUAAAUUUGGACAGCUUUUGGGGUUCACCAUGUUUAAAAAGGUCCUGAAAAUCACAUGAAGUGGAGCUAGAUUUAUAUGGUGAAUAGGAGUGGACUUCCUUGAGGUUUUCAUUUUCCGAAUGUUAAAUGAUGUUUUGUUGUAUGAUAUAAACUUGAAUAUCAUGAUGUCUACCCUGCAGCGGUUGUAAUGUAAGACGACACCUACUGCAUGUUAACCUAAAAUGAAUUAAUUCCUGUAUGUUUGUGUAUUUGUUUAGAAAAAUGUUUUAGUCACAAAGUUCUACAAAA